UCUGCAUGAUGGGUCUUUUAAA
rnacentral:miRNA from 1 species